GGGGAGCGCGCGGCUCCCGCAGGCCGCGGGGCGGGAAGGCGGGCGAGGACGCGGGGACCGAGCCGCGGGGACGCCGGUCGGGCGCGGAGGGCCGCGGCGGGCUGAGUGGAGAGCGGGCGCCCCGGAGCUGCCUCAGCGCGGCGCCCGGCGAGCGCGGCCCUGACAGCGCCUCCCGCACGCCGCCUCAGAUGUUCUGAAACCUAAACAAAAAUCAAGUAUGUCUCAUGAAGAUGUAUCACCUAAGGACGGGAGAGGUGGCUCAGCAGGGCCGGAAGCAAAGGAGAUGGCCAAUCACAGGCUGAAGCUUCCACCGCCAUGGACCAGAAGAGACCUUUCCUCUUUGCAAGUCAGUGUAGCUUGGACAUUUGUUGCAGAAGCAGGAAACUGGCUAACACCCCCUUCUCACUUGUGUUGCUUUGAGACAAGAUCUUGGUCAGUGGGCUGUGCUUGUCUCCAACGUGAGAUUCUACUUCUCAGCAUCAGAGAUGACUCUAGCUUGUACGGAGCUGACAGAAAACCAGCCCACAUAGAAAGAUACUCAAUCUAGGCUCCAUUGCAAAUGCAGGAUGGGCGUGUCUAAGGACCAGCUGCUGGUCUUGGCUUUCCCAGUGUGAAGGAGCCUACCCUGAACUCUGAGCUGAAGCAAACCAUUUCUCCCUUAAGCUGCUUUGUCAGUGUUUUAUCACAACAGGAAAGGAAACUAAGACAAGAAGGUGUGAUCAGAUUUGCUUAAGAAGAGUCGGGACCAGGACAAACCUCCCCAGAGGCAUUGGUGGGUCACCAUCUGUUAGAGCUGCUGGGAUGCCUGGAGUACUGAACUCUGCAAAGAUGAGAAGUAAUAGUUAAGUAACAUGGUGACUGGAACGUGUGUAUUCUCCAUAAGAAUUAACUGCUGCCAUGUGUGUUUGGUGAAGCUGUUUAAGUAGAAACUGGAGA